rnacentral:lncRNA from 1 species
ACACUGGAAGCCUCUCUGUGGCUGAUGGGAGGACCAGGGCUGAUGAAAGGAUGGAGCCAUGAAGGGCAGCCCUCCUGCUGCGGGUCGCCCUGCUGCUGCCCUGGGCCUGCAGCUCCUGGCACGUGGGUCUCUGGGACUCCUUGUGGAUGUGCCUCUCCAGGGCCCUCCAUCCUCGGUGGGCAGGAGACUCCCCUAGGGAGCUUGCUCUCAAGUUCUCAAUAGCAUACACACGGCUGCCACAAAUACACAGAAGUUUUGGGAAUUAGCUCUGUGAGACAGGCCUAUUUCAGAUAAGAAAAAUGAGGAUCAGAGAAGCUGAAAGUCUUGCGGAGGACACCCCAGCAAGGCGAAUUACAGGCCCAGAAUUCUAACGAGGGCAUCCGGACUCUGGGAUUACAACCGCCUUCUGCGUCCCAGGAAAAACCUCCUCUAGUCAUGCCCAGAUCUGCCUGGUCUAAAAACCACAAAAAUCGCAGGACUUUCCACUGAGUCAAUGCUUGUCA